rnacentral:lncRNA from 1 species
GGUUCCAAAGGAGGAGUCAAAGCGGCUGUAAUCUUGAUUCGGUUUUAUGGGCAAUAGAAUUAUUUUACUGAUUCCUGGAAUCAUGGCUCCUAUACAGCUGCACUCUAUGAGCACUUUGGAAAUUAAAGGAUUGCCAGCUUUUCCACUUUGGGACAAAAAACAUUUGUGCUAAACAGCCGAGGCUGCUUUCUUCUAGGAAAAAGCAAAUGCCAGUGUUAAUCAAACCAGCAUGGAAGUUAAUUAGAACCUCAAGAACAAGCGGAUGGGCUUAGCACCUUGGACACAUCAAUAUCUUGUUUCUAAAGAUGACCUCAAAAGAUUGC